rnacentral:rRNA from 1 species
CAUCUUUCCACAGGGAGAUGUUAGGGUCUCACACUGCUAAAAAGAGCGCUGCGCAGCGCUAUACGAAAUGCGAAGCACGGAUCUCAGGGUCUUACGGAAAUUGAAAGCGCAUAUCCCACUUCGGAUUUAGCCUGAAAUAUUGCCCUGUCUGGGUCCCGA